rnacentral:rRNA from 1 species
AAACGGCAUUAAGUGCUUGCACUUUUUGGACGUCGACCGGCGCACGGGUGAGUAACGCGUAUCCAACCUUCCCAUGACUAAGGGAUAACCUGCCGAAAGGCAGACUAAUACCUUAUGGUCUUCACUGACGGCAUCAGAUGUGAAGUAAAGAUUUAUCGGUUAUGGAUGGGGAUGCGUCUGAUUAGCUUGCUGGCGGGGUAACGGCCCACCAAGGCAACGAUCAGUAGGGGUUCUGAGAGGAAGGUCCCCCACAUUGGAACUGAGACACGGUCCAAACUCCUACGGGAGGCAGCAGUGAGGAAUAUUGGUCAAUGGGCGAGAGCCUGAACCAGCCAAGUAGCGUGCAGGAAGACGGCCCUAUGGGUUGUAAACUGCUUUUGUAUGGGGAUAAAGUCAAUCACGUGUGAUUGUUUGCAGGUACCAUACGAAUAAGGACCGGCUAAUUCCGUGCCAGCAGCCGCGGUAAUACGGAAGGUCCGGGCGUUAUCCGGAUUUAUUGGGUUUAAAGGGAGCGUAGGCUGGAGAUUAAGUGUGUUGUGAAAUGUAGACGCUCAACGUCUGACUUGCAGCGCAUACUGGUUUCCUUGAGUACGCACAACGUUGGCGGAAUUCGUCGUGUAGCGGUGAAAUGCUUAGAUAUGACGAAGAACUCCGAUUGCGAAGGCAGCUGACGGGAGCGCAACUGACGCUGAAGCUCGAAGGUGCGGGUAUCGAACAGGAUUAGAUACCCUGGUAGUCCGCACAGUAAACGAUGGAUGCCCGCUGUUGGUACCUGGUA